rnacentral:lncRNA from 1 species
UACAAGACAUUUGGCUAGACUUAUAUAUACUAAUGAUUUAAAUGUAAACUGCACAACAAAAGAUGAUUCUCUGAUCUGCAAUGUUUGAGUUUUUGGCUUGAUCCUUGAUUUAAAGUUCCCAUUCUUAAGCUACUAUAGUGGAUAAACCUUGAGCCUUGAUCUACCGCUUGUGCACUCUUGGAAAGAAUGAAGCUUACAGCUUUGAGUUUUUGCUGCCUCAUUGGAUAAGCUCCGGUUGAUGACGGUAAUCUGCGGUUUAUAGGCCCAAGGACUUGGUCCGCUGCUGUCUGGAUCUAGCAUGUUCUAGAGCUUACCGUUGCAUCAGUUCAUCUUGAUCUGUUGUUGCACUAGUUUUGUUUGCAUCAUCUUUGCUUGAUCUCCCGCUGCAUUGAAUACUGCAUGGGUUGGAGAAGACCUAAUCUCCUUUACAUACACUUGCAACAUGAUGGAGC